UGUACAGGGCACGUAUACAUAUUAUUUGUUAAAAGAGUCGGCUUUUUUCUUCAUGAAUGCUUUUCAAUCCUGUGUUUGCUCUUCUUAAGUUUUUGGACACUGUUCACGCAGACAUUUCUGUAUUUCCUAGCAAAACACACACAAAACAAAAUGUAAACAUUGAGGGUCAUCGACCUCGACCUUUGUAUUGAGAUAAGAUAUUACAACAUAUUCCUCAACGGGACCGUUUUGUGAUUGCAAAAUACUUGUGUGGACUUAUUAAGCGUGAACGGCAACUCUAGGAAAACAAUGAGCGUCGAGUGGCUUCGUAAUUUGGCUGGAGCCAGUCUAACGGAAGAGGAAAUGCAGCGCGUCCCGUACCCCAAAACAGAACUCACUGCGCAUGUCAGCAUCCGAUUCAUGCAGUUUAAUGGGUUAAUUGGCACAUGGAUUAUCGGCCCAAUUCUCGCGCUGUCGAAGAAAGAGCACAGAAAUCUGUCUUGUUUGAAGGCAAAGAUGACGAAAGCGGGGAGGGCAGGUGUAUUUUUAGGAGUACCGUUUGGCGUCUUGGCGACUUACGCCAAAAUUGGUAAAGAGUCAGAUCCGUACAAAAUUUGGGAUAGAUGUUAUCGACUGCGUCAUAACAGGAACCAGGUGCGCGUCGAUCAAGCGUCUACUGUUUCGACGCUUGGCGGCGCCGUUCUAGGCGUGGCUUCCGGUGGAGGGGCGUGGUUUGGUGCACUGAUGGGCAUGUCGGCUGGAAUAAUGGCUAGUGCUGUGUAUAAUAAUAAGUUAGAGAAAGAUGAAAAGAAACGUGCUGCAGAGGCGCUACAAAAAGAUAAUACGCCAUAAAUAAUGUUAUGACGUCUUUGUCGAUCAGUAGCAUGUCUGUCAAGUUUUGUUUAAACAUUUCCAAUGAUGUUGUGUUUGUGCCAUUUUUAUCAAUAUUUAAUAUUGUUCAUUACAUCAUUAUGUGUUCAUGUAAAAAUAAAUUUUGAAAAAAUAUAAUAUACAUGUUAAAAAGUAAGUGAAAUAUUUAAAAAAUGAAUGAAUGUUUUAAUGUAUGUUUGUUUAUGUUGACAAUAAAUGUGUAUGCAGACAACACAAUUGGAAUCUGCGAUGCAUGCAUUUCACACGCAGGGACUUUCUGUAUUUUUAUAAGUUUUGCAGACACGUGUAGUAUAAAUAAAUGGAAUAAACAUAACAUAAAAGCGAUA